rnacentral:rRNA from 1 species
CCUACGGGUGGCAGCAGUGGGGGAUAUUGCACAAUGGGGGGAACCCUGAUGCAGCGACGCCGCGUGGGUGAAGGAGCGUUUCGGCGCGUAAAGCCCUAUCGGCAGGGAAGAAGAUGACGGUACCUGACCAAGAAGCCCGGCUAAAUACGUGCCAGCCGCCGCGGGUAUAAGUAGGGGGGAAGGGGUAUCCGGGUUUACCGGGGGUAAAGGGGGGGCAGACGGCAAUGGAAGCCAGGAGGUAAAGCCCGGGGCCCAACCCCGGGGCUGCUCUUGGAAAUGCAUGGCUGGAGUACAGGAGGGGCAGGCGGAAUUCCUAGUGUAGCGGUGAAAUGCGUAGAUAUUAGGAGGAACACCGGUGGCGAAGGCGGCCUGCUGGACUGUGACUGACGUUGAGGCCCGAAGGCGUGGGGAGCAAACAGGAUUAGAUACCCGGGUAGUC